AUUGAACGCUGGCGGCAUGCCUUACACAUGCAAGUCGAACGGCAGCACGGGAGCAAUCCUGGUGGCGAGUGGCGAACGGGUGAGUAAUAUAUCGGAACGUGCCCGGUCGUGGGGGAUAACGUAGCGAAAGCUACGCUAAUACCGCAUACGAUCUACGGAUGAAAGCGGGGGAUCGCAAGACCUCGCGCGAUUGGAGCGGCCGAUAUCAGAUUAGGUAGUUGGUGAGGUAAAGGCUCACCAAGCCGACGAUCUGUAGCUGGUCUGAGAGGACGACCAGCCACACUGGGACUGAGACACGGCCCAGACUCCUACGGGAGGCAGCAGUGGGGAAUUUUGGACAAUGGGCGCAAGCCUGAUCCAGCAAUGCCGCGUGCAGGAUGAAGGCCUUCGGUUG
rnacentral:rRNA from 1 species